AGAGUUUGAUCAUGGCUCAGAUUGAACGCUGGCGGCAGGCCUAACACAUGCAAGUCGAGCGGUAGCACAAAGGAGCUUGCUCCUUGGGUGACGAGCGGCGGACGGGUGAGUAAUGUCUGGGAAACUGCCUGAUGGAGGGGGAUAACUACUGGAAACGGUAGCUAAUACCGCAUAACGUCGCAAGACCAAAGAGGGGGACCUUCGGGCCUCUUGCCAUCGGAUGUGCCCAGAUGGGAUUAGCUAGUAGGUGGGGUAAAGGCUCACCUAGGCGACGAUCCCUAGCUGGUCUGAGAGGAUGACCAGCCACACUGGAACUGAGACACGGUCCAGACUCCUACGGGAGGCAGCAGUGGGGAAUAUUGCACAAUGGGCGCAAGCCUGAUGCAGCCAUGCCGCGUGUGUGAAGAAGGCCUUCGGGUUGUAAAGCACUUUCAGCGGGGAGGAAGGGGGCAGGCUUAAUACGUCUGUUCAUUGACGUUACCCGCAGAAGAAGCACCGGCUAACUCCGUGCCAGCAGCCGCGGUAAUACGGAGGGUGCAAGCGUUAAUCGGAAUGACUGGGCGUAAAGCGCACGCAGGCGGUCUGUUAAGUUGGAUGUGAAAUCCCCGGGCUUAACCUGGGAACUGCAUUCAAAACUGACAGGCUAGAGUCUCGUAGAGGGGGGUAGAAUUCCAGGUGUAGCGGUGAAAUGCGUAGAGAUCUGGAGGAAUACCGGUGGCGAAGGCGGCCCCCUGGACGAAGACUGACGCUCAGGUGCGAAAGCGUGGGGAGCAAACAGGAUUAGAUACCCUGGUAGUCCACGCUGUAAACGAUGUCGAUUUGGAGGUUGUGGUCUUGAACCGUGGCUUCCGGAGCUAACGCGUUAAAUCGACCGCCUGGGGAGUACGGCCGCAAGGUUAAAACUCAAAUGAAUUGACGGGGGCCCGCACAAGCGGUGGAGCAUGUGGUUUAAUUCGAUGCAACGCGAAGAACCUUACCUACUCUUGACAUCCAGCGAACCUUGUAGAGAUACGAGGGUGCCUUCGGGAGCGCUGAGACAGGUGCUGCAUGGCUGUCGUCAGCUCGUGUUGUGAAAUGUUGGGUUAAGUCCCGCAACGAGCGCAACCCUUAUCCUUUGUUGCCAGCACUUCGGGUGGGAACUCAAGGGAGACUGCCGGUGAUAAACCGGAGGAAGGUGGGGAUGACGUCAAGUCAUCAUGGCCCUUACGAGUAGGGCUACACACGUGCUACAAUGGCGUAUACAAAGAGAAGCGACCUCGCGAGAGCAAGCGGACCUCAUAAAGUACGUCGUAGUCCGGAUUGGAGUCUGCAACUCGACUCCAUGAAGUCGGAAUCGCUAGUAAUCGUAGAUCAGAAUGCUACGGUGAAUACGUUCCCGGGCCUUGUACACACCGCCCGUCACACCAUGGGAGUGGGUUGCAAAAGAAGUAGGUAGCUUAACCUUCGGGAGGGCGCUUACCACUUUGUGAUUCAUGACUGGGGUGAAGUCGUAACAAGGUAACC
rnacentral:rRNA from 1 species